CAUUAGACCUGGCAGUGUCCCUGACUGGGCUCUAUCAGCUGUGGUCCUGGCCAACAUGUGGACUUUGAGCUCUCAAGAGAGCCAGAACCAUCCUAUAAGCCACUCCUAGGUUCCUGACCCAAGGAACUAUGUGAGAUAAUGUGUCUGAUUUUAAGCCUUUAAGUCUUGAGGCAAUCCAUUCUGCAGCCAAGAGUCAACAAAUACAAUAACACUAAAUGAAACAAAAUAGCACUAAACAUAAUACUUGGUGUUGUGAAGAUGUGGAGCCACUGGACCUCUCACAGACUGCUAGCGAAAGAAAAAUGAAUCUUGCUAAGUCACUGAGAUGUCUCGGCUGGACUUCAACUUGUGAUUCUCCUGCCUCAGCUUCCCAGAGUGCUGAGAUUACAGGCAUGUGUGACCACACCCUGCUGGCCUUUCCUCUUCUAAGUUUUUCUCAGGGAUCGAACCUUGAGCUUGCGAGGCAGGAGCCAGAACCACUGAGCUAAAUCCCUGGCCCUUAUUUCUUAUAUUCUGAAGGCUGGAAAAAUCAUCUGGCAGAUAUCUGGUGAGGGCCUUCUGGCUGCAUCAGAACACAGCAAAGGCAUCAGCCAGCAGCAGAGCAUGCAAGAGAGAACAAAGGGGGCUGCACUUCCUUCUUUCACAACUGACAUAUUUCUGUGGUAAUGAACUCACUCUCUUGAUUAGAGACUUAACCCAUUCAUGAGGUGUCUCCAUAGCCUAACCACCUUCUAAAUACCAUCAUAAUAACAUUUUUCAAAAUAAUUUUUGGAGAAGAGAGUCAAAGAUCACCAGGUACCAUGUAUGGAGGAUGCAGACCUUUAGGGGAGCUCAUAGUCCAGCAGGGAGACAAUCUCCAAGAGUAUAAACCAAUGUAACAUGAGUGAAAAGGGGGAAGGAGCUUGCGCCCAAUGUUGUGGGACUGUUGAUGCACCUUGCUUACCUGAGAAGACCAGGGAAUAAUUUUAGGCAGCAGUAAGGCUUGACCUGAAUCUUUGAGGAUGAGUAGGAAUGAUGCAGGUUGCAGAAAUCCCGAGGGUGGGUGGCAUACAUGUCACAGCAGAAUAGUGGUGGCCAGGGAGUGGCUGACCCCUCCCUCUUCCAUCUUUCCUCUCUGCCAUGGUUUGAGUAUAGGUAGUGUUCCUAAAGGUCCAUGUGUUAAAAGCUUUGUUCUGGACCAAGAAUGUAGGUCAGAGGUAGAGCACUUGCCUACCAUGUGCAAGGUGCUGGGUUGGUUCAGACCUCUCCCACUCCCCAAAAACCUUGGUCCCCAAGGUGGCACUCUUGGGAGGUAGUAGGGACCAGAGUCUAAUAAGCAAUUCUUAGGUCCUUGGGGCUGUGUUCCCAAGGAAGAUUGCAGGACCCCAGUCCUCUCUUACACUGCUUCCUGGCUCAUGAUAGAAGCUGUCUGCACCGUGAGGUGCUUCCACCAGGAUGUGCUGCCCUGGCCAGAGGCCCAAAGCAGUGGGUUCAUCCAAUCUCGAACUGGAAGCUCCAGUACUGUGAACCAAAAUAAACCUUUGCUCUGUGUAAGUUAAUUGCCUUAGGUAUGCUAUAAUGAUGUGAAAUCCAAACCCCCACCCCACCCCAGACACCUGCCAAUGUGGGGAGGGGAGAGAAGUGCCCUUGCCAUCCUGUAGGUACAGACUAAGGAAGGAUGCCGUUACGUAUUCUAGAAUGUACAGAGCAGCUCCCCACAGACACUGUCUAGGCCAGUGUCAAUGGUUCCAAGGUUGAGAAACAGCACCUGGAGAGAGGACAUGCUUCUUUCAAAGAUUAAAGUAUCAGGGAGUAUUAAUGGGUCAGGUCUGAUGCAGAGCUACCUAGUGGCGAGAGAUGCAGUUAAAGAAGUGAAGGGACUGAGUUUAAGAAGGGCUUGGUGAACUAAAAUAAGAAUGCCUGAGGACACUGAGAGGCCCCAAGGAGAUUCUUUGUAAAAAAUUAAAACAAUAUGUGAUGUUAACUACACAAUGCUAAAGGGGCUGAAGGGUUGUUUAAAUAAUCUCAUUAUUGGGAUUGCAUGUCAUUUCUUGUUUAUUUACUAACACAUCUUCCCUAAAUGUCUCUCUAUAUACAUAUAUAUCUCUCAAAUGGUGUUUUAUUUUUAUUUAUUUUAUUUUAUUAUUUUUAUUGGUGCAUUUUAGGUGUACAA